AUGAACGCUGGCGGCGUGCCUAAUACAUGCAAGUCGAGCGAACAGACGAGGAGCUUGCUCCUCUGACGUUAGCGGCGGACGGGUGAGUAACACGUGGAUAACCUACCUAUAAGACUGGGAUAACUUCGGGAAACCGGAGCUAAUACCGGAUAAUAUAUUGAACCGCAUGGUUCAAUAGAGAAAGACGGUUUUGCUGUCACUUAUAGAUGGAUCCGCGCCGCAUUAGCUAGUUGGUAAGGUAACGGCUUACCAAGGCAACGAUGCGUAGCCGACCUGAGAGGGUGAUCGGCCACACUGGAACUGAGACACGGUCCAGACUCCUACGGGAGGCAGCAGUAGGGAAUCUUCCGCAAUGGGCGAAAGCCUGACGGAGCAACGCCGCGUGAGUGAUGAAGGUCUUCGGAUCGUAAAACUCUGUUAUUAGGGAAGAACAAAUGUGUAAGUAACUAUGCACGUCUUGACGGUACCUAAUCAGAAAGCCACGGCUAACUACGUG
rnacentral:rRNA from 1 species